rnacentral:SRP_RNA from 1 species
GCCAGGCAUGGUGCUGUGUGCCUGUAAUCCCAGCUACUCAGAAGGCUGAGGCUGGAGGAUCACUUGAGCCCAGGAGUUCAAGGCUGCAGUGAGCUAUGAUCAUGCCACUGCACUCCAGCCUGGGUGACAGAAUGAGACCCUGUCUCAA